rnacentral:lncRNA from 1 species
AUCUAACCCAUCUCGCUGCUCACUCUAUACACUGCACCUUCUCUCCACCGUUUCUCGACCUUGCUGUUCCGGUGAAGCAACUACUGAUGACGAUCGAUUCACUGUCUUCACAAAAUCGACUAGAAAAUCGAUCCCAAAGUUCCUCUUCACAAAACCGACCAGAAAAUCGAUCCCAAAGUUCCUCAGUACGUGUUUCACUGUGUUUCAUCCAUCAUUCCGUCAUCUUUUUCCUCCUCUCAAUUUUAUUUGUUGCCACUUUCAGAUCAAGCGAGCGUCGGAAGAAGACCGACUCAAAGAUUUCCCUCACUGACCCCUUUGCUUCAAUCACCGAAUUCCAG